GACGAACCGCCCGAACGUUGUUCGGAAUCACUGGGCUUAAAGGGCGCGUAGGCGGGCCUCGUAGUCAGGGGUGAAAUCCCACGGCUCAACCGUGGAAGUGCCUCUGAUACUGGGGGCCUCGAGGGAGGUAGGGGCGUGCGGAACUUCCGGUGGAGCGGUGGAAUGCGUAGAUAUCGGAAGGAACACCGGUGGCGAAAGCGGCGCGCUGGACCUCUUCUGACGCUGAGGCGCGAAAGCCAGGGGAGCAAACGGG
rnacentral:rRNA from 1 species